CCUACGGGAGGCUGCAGUGGGGAAUCUUCCGCAAUGGGCGAAAGCCUGACGGAGCAACGCCGCGUGAGUGAUGACGGCCUUCGGGUUGUAAAACUCUGUGAUCCGGGACGAAAAGGCAGAGUGCGAAGAACAAACUGCAUUGACGGUACCGGAAAAGCAAGCCACGGCUAACUACGGGCCAGCAGCCGCGGUAAUACGUAGGUGGCAAGCGUUGUCCGGAAUUAUUGGGCGUAAAGCGCGCGCAGGCGUCUUCCCAAGUCCCUCUUAAAAGUGCGGGGCUUAACCCCGUGAUGGGAAGGAAACUGGGAAGCUGGAGUAUCGGAGAGGAAAGUGGAAUUCCUAGUGUAGCGGUGAAAUGCGUAGAGAUUAGGAAGAACACCGGUGGCGAAGGCGACUUUCUGGACGAAAACUGACGCUGAGGCGCGAAAGCGUGGGGAGCAAACAGGAUUAGAUACCCGAGUAGUC
rnacentral:rRNA from 1 species